CGUAGGGGCGUAGCGUUGUCCGGAAGUCAUUGGGCGUAAAGACGCGUGUAGGCGGUCCGGUAACGUCCGCUGUGAAAGUACGAGGGCUCAACCCUCAAAUGCCGGUGGAUACUGUCGGGCUAGAGUACGGAAGAGGCGAGUGGAAUUCCUGGUGUAGCGGUGAAAUGCGCAGAUAUCAGGAGGAACACCAAUUGCGAAGGCAGCUCGCUGGGACGUUACUGACGCUGAGACGCGAAAGCGUGGGGGAGCAAACAGGAUU
rnacentral:rRNA from 1 species